GGACGGGUGAGUAAUGCCUAGGAAAUUGCCCUGAUGUGGGGGAUAACCAUUGGAAACGAUGGCUAAUACCGCAUGAUGCCUACGGGCCAAAGAGGGGGACCUUCGGGCCUCUCGCGUCAGGAUAUGCCUAGGUGGGAUUAGCUAGUUGGUGAGGUAAGGGCUCACCAAGGCGACGAUCCCUAGCUGGUCUGAGAGGAUGAUCAGCCACACUGGAACUGAGACACGGUCCAGACUCCUACGGGAGGCAGCAGUGGGGAAUAUUGCACAAUGGGCGCAAGCCUGAUGCAGCCAUGCCGCGUGUGUGAAGAAGGCCUUCGGGUUGUAAAG
rnacentral:rRNA from 1 species